UACGUAGGGUGCAAGCGUUAAUCGGAAUUACUGGGCGUAAAGCGUGCGCAGGCGGUUGUGUAAGACAGAUGUGAAAUCCCCGGGCUCAACCUGGGAACUGCAUUUGUGACUGCACGGCUGGAGUGCGGCAGAGGGGGAUGGAAUUCCGCGUGUAGCAGUGAAAUGCGUAGAUAUGCGGAGGAACACCGAUGGCGAAGGCAAUCCCCCUGGGCCUGCACUGACGCUCAUGCACGAAAGCGUGGGGAGCAAACAGG
rnacentral:rRNA from 1 species